UGGGGAAUUUUGCACAAUGGGGGAAACCCUGAUGCAGCGACGCCGCGUGAUUUAGAAGGCCUUCGGGUUGUAAAAAUCUUUUUUACGGGAUGAAAAUGACAGUACCGUAAGAAUAAGGUCCGGCUAAAUACGUGCCAGCAGCCGCGGUAAUACGUAUGGACCGAGCGUUGUCCGGAAUCAUUGGGCGUAAAGGGUACGUAGGCGGCCUAGUAAGUUAGAAGUGAAAUAAUAUAGCUCAACUAUAUAAAGCUUUUAAAACUGCUAGGCUUGAGAGAUGAAAGGGAAAGUGGAAUUCCUAGUGUAGCGGUGAAAUGCGCAGAUAUUAGGAAGAAUACCGGUGGCGAAGGCGACUUUCUGGUCAUCAUCUGACGCUGAGGUACGAAAGCGUGGGUAGCAAACAGG
rnacentral:rRNA from 1 species